UUUUGUAAGCAAUCCACUACCUCUCUCAAAGGACUCAAAUUCCCAUUCAGCAUAACGAUGACCCACUGUACAAACAAUCAUAUUUAGGCCUUGAAUGAAGAUUGAAGGGUUUAAGCUUCUGGGUUUGUUAAGGCCUCAAUUUCGGUCAGCGUUGCCGUCUAGAGCCGUAGAGGCGAGAAGGACUUUAUACCACAUCUUAUCAAUUAAGAUUACCCAAACCUUGCCGCCGGCAGCUGCAUCCAAUCAAUUCAAGACAAUCUUCGAUCUCCAGAGUGUGAGUCGCUUCUCUCUUACAUAUAAUCGUUGUGCGGCUUCGAAACCUUUGCAAAUCAAUAGAGACCAUCAAUGGCAAGCACCACCGAUACCAGCACAGCAGCACUCUCUUUUUCUUCAUUUUCCAUUUCUGGGCUCACACAGGGAUUUUUCUGCAAUCCUACAAUCCUGACAAUGCUAGUGAUAAUUUGUUGGAUCCAAAUGGAGAGCUAGGGGUGUAUUUGGAUGGCCUUGCGAAUGCAAGUGAUGCUCAGGUUUAUGUGAAGGAGAAUCCAAUUGGGGUGCCAUCAAUUUCAUCUGACCAUCCUGAUUGGAAUUUCUACUUCGAAGUCCUUCAAGGGUUUAAGGGAGAAAGUGAGGAAAAGACUACGUCUCAGCAACGAGAGUCUUGAGAUUUUUUCUGGAUGUGA